GAUGAACGCUGGCGGCGUGCCUAAUACAUGCAAGUCGAGCGAAUGGAUUAAGAGCUUGCCCUUAUGAAGUUAGCGGCGGACGGGCGAGUAACACGUGGGUAACCUGCCCAUAAGACUGGGAUAACUCCGGGAAACCGGGGCUAAUACCGGAUAACACUUUGAACCGCAUGGUUCGAAAUUGAAAGGCGGCUUCGGCUGUCACUUAUGGAUGGACCCGCGUCGCAUUAGCUAGUUGGUGAGGUAACGGCUCACCAAGGCAACGAUGCGUAGCCGACCUGAGAGGGUGAUCGGCCACACUGGGACUGAGACACGGCCCAGACUCCUACGGGAGGCAGCAGUAGGGAAUCUUCCGCAAUGGACGAAAGUCUGACGGAGCAACGCCGCGUGAGUGAUGAAGGCUUUCGGGUCGUAAAACUCUGUUGUUAGGGAAGAACAAGUGCUAGUUGAAUAAGCUGGCACCUUGACGGUACCUAACCAGAAAGCCACGGCUAACUACGUGCCAGCAGCCGCAGUAA
rnacentral:rRNA from 1 species